UUUGAAGUUGUGAAAGGCAGUAGUAAAUAAUCUUUCAUUUUCAGAGAGCCGAUGCUUGGUGAAAAUCGGUAAUGAAGGUUGUUGAAUCCGGCCUGGAACUGUAUAGGGGUAAAAAACCUAUACCGGACUAAUUCCGUUAAAAUUAAGAGACUACUUGCAAGUAGUAAAAUAAGGUGGUACCACGUGGAAAUUCCCCGUCCUUAGC
rnacentral:ncRNA from 1 species